CUGCCAUCUUAAGUCCAAUGUAUGUUUAAAUAGAGAGUUGAAAACAGCAUCAUAAAAUAGACUGUAAAAUGGAGGUUUCUUUUGUAACAGAACUUUUAAAAAGAACUACAGUAACAACAUGGAUUUCAGUAACUACACUACUAACAGAGACCACUUUUAAAAAAUGAAAAUACUACAUAUAUAUAUAUAUAUAUAUAUAUAUAUAUAUAUACACACACACACAAUGGCAAUUAACCAAUUUCUACACUUUUUUCUAAAAUUUAAUUGCAUGCUACUGUCCUUUCACUUGGCCUACUACUUAGUAGCUCUAAAUUUCCUUCCUAAUCUCCUUGAAUGGCAACAAGAAUAGGAGUAUUUUUACUUAGAGUGUGAUAUGACUCUAUUUAACUAGUGAAUAGAAACUCUAAGAUACAUUAUUACUUUUUUAGAACACUUUGAGAUCUAGAAAAAAAUGAAAUUAAUGCUUGUGGAAUAAUUCAUAAAACACGAUAUAAGCAGUAAUUAGGUAUUACUGAGGUAUUCUAGAGUGACCCAAACAUUCUGAAAAGUUCGAUGAAAUCAAUUGCUUGUGUAGACCAUUGAUUCUCAAACUCAAUUACUUUUCUACACUACCUGAAGAGCUUUUAAAAAUUAAAUGUUUCUAGGCACCCCUACAACUGUAAAAAUAUAGAUGAAUUUGUAUUUUUGAAAAGUUCACCAAGAUUAUUCCUAAAUUUUUUAAAGUACACUCAGGCAUUGCUUAACAACAAGGAUACUUUCUGAGAAAUGUGUCAUUAAGCGCUUUUGUCAUAACAUAUCAUAGAGUGUUACUACACAAAACUAGAUGGUAUAGCCUACUACACAUAUUGCUCCUAGGCUACAAACCUGUUACAGCAUAUUACUGUACUGAAUACGAUAGGCAGUUGUAACAC
rnacentral:lncRNA from 1 species